rfam:Bacillus selenitireducens MLS10, complete genome.
CCAUCCUUUAAAGGAGUCCUGUGAGUCUCCCAAGGGUGAAUAAAUAAACCGAUCUCCGUCAAUAUGCAGGAGAGGUUUAUUUUCACACACCCUGAAUCUGUUCAGGGUGUGUUUUUUAG